rnacentral:rRNA from 1 species
GCCUGUGGCCACACCAUCCUGAACAUACUCUGUUUCAUUUCAUCUUAGAAGCUAAGCAGCUUUGGGCCCAGUUAAUACUGGAUGGGAGACUGCUUGAGAAAACUGAGUCCAGGUGUUGUAGACU